rnacentral:rRNA from 1 species
GACGAACGCUGGCGGCGUGCUUAACACAUGCAAGUCGAACGGAAAGGCCUCUUUCGGGGGGUACUCGAGUGGCGAACGGGUGAGUAACACGUGAGUAACCUGCCCUUGACUUUGGGAUAACUUCAGGAAACUGGGGCUAAUACCGGAUAGGAGCUCCUGCUGCAUGGUGGGGGUUGGAAAGUUUCGGCGGUUGGGGAUGGACUCGCGGCUUAUCAGCUUGUUGGUGGGGUAGUGGCUUACCAAGGCUUUGACGGGUAGCCGGCCUGAGAGGGUGACCGGCCACAUUGGGACUGAGAUACGGCCCAGACUCCUACGGGAGGCAGCAGUAGGGAAUCUUGCGCAAUGGGCGAAAGCUUGACGGAGCAACGCCGCGUGAGUGAUGAAGGUCUUCGGAUCGUAAAACUCUGUUAUUAGGGAAGAACAAAUGUGUAAGUAACUAUGCACGUCUUGACGGUACCUAAUCAGAAAGCCACGGCUAACUACGUG